rnacentral:rRNA from 1 species
UACAGAGGGGGCAAGCGUUGUUCGGAAUUACUGGGCGUAAAGGGCGCGUAGGCGGCCUUCUAAGUCGAACGUGAAAUCCCCGGGCUCAACCCGGGAACUGCGUCCGAUACUGGAAGGCUUGGAUCCGGGAGAGGGAUGCGGAAUUCCAGGUGUAGCGGUGAAAUGCGUAGAUAUCUGGAGGAACACCGGUGGCGAAGGCGGCAUCCUGGACCGGCAUUGACGCUGAGGCGCGAAAGCGUGGGGAGCAAACAGG